rnacentral:rRNA from 1 species
GAUGAACGCUAGCGGGAGGCCUAACACAUGCAAGCCGAGCGGUAGAGUUUCUUCGGAAACUUGAGAGCGGCGUACGGGUGCGGAACACGUGUGCAACCUGCCUUUAUCUGGGGGAUAGCCUUUCGAAAGGAAGAUUAAUACCCCAUAAUAUAUUGAUUGGCAUCAAUUAAUAUUGAAAACUCCGGUGGAUAGAGAUGGGCACGCGCAAGAUUAGAUAGUUGGUGAGGUAACGGCUCACCAAGUCAGUGAUCUUUAGGGGGGCUGAGAGGGUGAUCCCCCACACUGGUACUGAGACACGGACCAGACUCCUACGGGAGGCAGCAGUGAGGAAUAUUGGACAAUGGGUGAGAGCCUGAUCCAGCCAUCCCGCGUGAAGGACGACGGCCCUAUGGGUUGUAAACUUCUUUUGUAUAGGGAUAAACCUACCCUCGUGAGGGUAGCUGAAGGUACUAUACGAAUAAGCACCGGCUAACUCCGUGCCAGCCGCCGCCGUAAAAC